GUUCAGCCAAAAGGAAAUUGAACCAAUAAGCUGGUCCAGCCAAAAGGACUUGAACCAAUAAGCUGGUUCAGCCAAAAGGACUUGAACCAAUAAGCUGGUUCAGCCAAAAGAGGAAAUUGAACCAAUAAGCUGGUUCAGCCAAAAGGACUUGAACCAAUAAGCUGGUUCAGCCAAAAGGACUUGAACCAAUAACCUGGUCCAGCCAAAAGGACUUGAACCAAUAAGCUGGUUCAGCCAAAAGGACUUGAACCAAUAAGCUGGUUCAGCCAAAAGGACUUGAACCAAUAACCUGGUUCAGCCAAAAGGACUUGAACCAAUAACCUGGUCCAGCCAAAAGGACUUGAACCAAUAACCUGUUCAGCCAAAAGGACUUGAACCAAUAACAAGGUCCAGCCAAAAGAGGGAGUUGAACUAAUAACCAGCUAAUGAACAGUGACUCCCUCUCAAUUCCUGAUUACUACUGAACUCUGAUGAAGAUGAUGGUAAUGAUGAUGAUGAUGAUGGUAAUGGUGAUAAUGAUGAUGAUGAUGAUGGUGAUGAUGAUGGUAAUGAUGAUGAUGGUGAUGGUAAUGAUGAUGGUGAUGAUGGUAAUGAUGAUGAUGAUGAUGGUGAUGAUGAUGGUAAUGAUGAUGACGAUGAUGAUGAUGAUGAUGGUGAUGAUGAUGAUGAUGAUGAUGAUGAUGCUGAUGGUAAUGAUGAUGGUGAUGAUGAUGAUGAUGGUAAUGAUGAUGGUGAUGGUAAUGAUGAUGGUGAUGAUGAUGGUAAUGAUGAUGUAAUGAUGAUGGUGAUGAUGAUGGUAAUGAUGAUGAUGAUGGUAAUGAUGAUGAUUAUGAUGAUGAUGAUGGUGAUGAUGGUGAUGAUGGUGAUGGUGAUGAUGAUAUAUGAUGAUGAUGAUGGUAAUGAUGAUGAUGAUGAUGAUGGUGAUGACGAUGAUGGUAAUGAUGAUGGUAAUGAUGAAGGUGAUGUAUGAUGAUGAUAUGUUUACUGUGCUCUACAAGCAGGACUAGUAGGGACAUGCAUGCUUAUCCCUGCACCAUAUUUCUGUUCUGACCCAGUUGUUAUUGCCACUGAAGACUCCAGUCACUCAGUCAGUCUCACAGGGGGCCAUGAUGUAUAGGUCAAUAUUACACAUUGAUUUAUUAUAUUGAUACUGAUCACUUUUAUAUUAUCUACCAAGCUGUGUUAGCACUGGUGAUGCUACUACCGCUUCAAUGCACUGGAUUUAAUGUAUAUACAUCACUAAGAGGACAGAGAGAGGACAGAGAGAGGACAGAGAGGAGAGGAGAGGAGAGACAGAGAGGAGAGAGAGGAGAGAGAGAGAGGACAGAGAGAGAGGAGAGAGAGAGAGAGGAGAGGAGAGAGGAGAGACAGAGAGGAGAGAGAGAGAGAGACAGAGAGGAGAGAGAAGAGACAGAGAGGAGAGAGAGUGGAGAGAGGAGGGAGAGAGAGGAGAGAGAGGAGAGAGAGAGACAGA
rnacentral:lncRNA from 1 species